rnacentral:lncRNA from 1 species
UGAAAAGAGCCUUUGACUUUGAUUAACCUCAUCCAUGUAUAUCAUCUCUCAAUUCCAGUGAACUACAUACUAUAUGGUGGCUAACCUUAUAGCUCUAUGAAGCCAUUCGAAUUCACUGUUCUAUUCAAAUAUUUCCACUAAACAUGACUAAAUUAAUUUUUAUUUUAUUUUAUUUCUUUUGUGUUUUAGAACCAACUGACAAUAACAGACUAACUACAAAAGGAAAAUCCUAAGCUUGACACUACUGCAAUCCCAUAUAAAAGUACGUAUAAAGAUUACUACAUGAAUAAAAUUUAAAUCCAGGAAAUUAAAGAGGUGUUAUUCAUUUUGGUCGAGAUAUGCCGAGUUUCUAAUCUUAUGAUGAAGCCAAAUCUAAAUAACCAAUUUGCACCCAAAAUCUAAGACUUUACUGAAGCUAUGGUGAAACUCAAGGACAUAACUAAUGCAACAACAAAUCUAAAGAUACUAUCCAAAUGGCUAAUAUCAUAUUUCAAAGUCACAAAAUACCACAUAGAGAAGAAAGCAAAAAGAAACAGAAAAGGAGAUAGACCUUAGUGAACUGAUUUCUUUCUGAUUAUUGGAGCUCUGAUUUUACAGGUCUGUGGGGAUAAAAGCAACGAAACAUCCAGCAGCAGAAACCGAGCAAAUGAACCUGCGACCGGAAAUCUCGAUCGGCAAUUGCUUCUGGUGAUCUUGAACUCGACUUUGCAUCUGCUGUUUUUGUUCGAAGAGGGAGCUGUUUUAUUUUUGUUUUUCGGCCGGGUUUGGAGAUGCGACUGUCUGUGGUCGUUGUGUUUUCCGACGAGUUCGCCGGAGUUGUGGUCAUGUGUGUGAGUGUGGACAGUUGAAGGAAGAUGAAGUCAGGGGGGGUCUAUGAUGGGUGUUAAGCGGCGGAUCUGGUCUUAUUUUUGGGAUUCCACGGCUGAUUUUUGAGUGUAUAGUACUAUGUGUAUUGUGUAUUUUCAGUGAAGAACUCGCGAAAAUGGGAUAUUGGCUAACAAGAUUUGGCUUCAAAAUUGGGCUCUAGUUUCCUACAAAAAAAA